rnacentral:rRNA from 1 species
UACGUAGGGUCCGAGCGUUGUCCGGAGUUACUGGGCGUAAAGCGCGCGCAGGCGGCUCGUCAAGUCUGGCAUGAAAGCCCCCGGCUCAACCGGGGAGGGUCGUCGGAGACUGGCGAGCUUGAGGGCGGUAGGGGCUGGUGGAAUUCCCGGUGUAGUGGUGAAAUGCGUAGAGAUCGGGAGGAACACCCGUGGCGAAGGCGGCCAGCUGGGCCGUCCCUGACGCUGAGGCGCGAAGGCGUGGGGAGCGAACGGG